CGCGCAUCUACCACUUUAAGCACGAGGCCAACUCGGGGAGCGGUCAAAGCCAGCACAGAAGGUGAAGUUGACUUCGUGGUAUGAGAACCUGGUAAAUGAAAAAAGAACACAGAAGAAAGUCCAGUUGGUGGCAGUUUGACAAGACAUAUCCUCCGUCACCAAGACUUUGUUGGCCACCAGGUCACCAGAUUCUCUUACCCAGCCAGACCAGCUCAGCAACCGCAGCUUUUUGUCUCACUAAAAAUCCAUCAGAGACGAAUGAUGGAACAGAAGUGGCCAAUCGUCAUCGUCACUGAUUGUGACAUUAGAAGAAUCAGUCUUGAUGAAAAACCAAGCGACCUUGAGUCUCUGUUGGAUCACUUGAAAGUUAAACUGGCACUACCAUAUGACUUUAAUCUACAGUUUGAAGACCCACUGUUUAACAAUGCCCUCUGCAACCUGACAGAUGUGUCAGAACUGACACAGAAACUGAAAGUUAUAAAUCUCAAGUACUUCUCUUUGGUUUCUAGCACACUGUCCUCACCAAGCACAUCUGAUACAGAUAUACUGUAUACAAGUAAAGAAAAAUCUCAGCUGAUGAGGCCCGAUCCUUGGCCUUCUGAAUUUGAUAUUCCAGAAUUCUCUGUGGAUGUAAAUUUCCUACUGAGACAGGGAGACCUUGCCUAUAUGAAGGCUGGAACUCGGAUGGAUGUUACCCGGGACAUGAAACAUGUGAUCUUAGAGAGACUUGCAGAGACAAUGUACAAGUACACGGCAUACCCCACAGAGGAACACUGUUGAGAAGUGGCCUCUGCACUGAUUGCAAAACAUCCUUGUUUGAAAGAAGCUGGAUCACCCCCUGGAUAUUGCGGUUGGAAGAAUAGCAUUAAGUUCAAGAUGGGGAAUUUCUGUACAAAAAUGAGAAGAUCUGGAAUGGUCGAUGUCACAGUGAAUGGCAACAAGCGGAAGAGGGAUUCCCCUGAAGGAGAGCCAUCAUGUAGUAACAUAAAAAGGCCAAAAAGAAGUGAGACAAAUUUCUUACCAAAUUUUCCUGAUGGUGAAAAUGCAGAUACUCAGAGUCAGUUAGAAGUCAGCUUGAAAGUGAAGCAAAGAAAAGGCUUCCAGACUCAGCUGAUGUGAAGAAAAUGAUGGACCAGACAUUUUCUUUGCAACGCAAAGAAAUUGUGGAAGAACAGCCUGCCAGCCUCCAAAAGGAUGAUGGAACGUUGGCCUGUGCUGUUCACAGAAAGUCAGAGUUUCCAGUAAAAACCUCAAGAAAGACUUCUAUGAAUCUCUGGACCACCACACCACCCGUCUCAUUGACCUCUUCAAAUCCAGAAAAGGAGUCCUAGGUCACUUGAUCGCCUCCUCCAGCCAAUCUAU